UACGUAGGGGGCAAGCGUUGUCCGGAAUCAUUGGGCGUAAAGCGCGUGUAGGCGGCUGAGUAAGUCUGCUCUGAAAGCCCGGGGCUCAACCCCGGGAGGCGGGUGGAUACUGCUCAGCUCGAGUCCGGAAGAGGAGUGUGGAAUUCCGGGUGUAGCGGUGGAAUGCGUAGAGAUCCGGAAGAACACCGGUGGCGAAGGCGGCCCGCUGGGCAACUGCUGACACUGAGGCGCGACAGCGUGGGGGAGCAAACAGG
rnacentral:rRNA from 1 species